ensembl:lncRNA
CUUGCUCCAGUAACGGGGAGACGCUCUGGGUCCAUUACAGAUGGAUCUAACGGAACAGUCCACGGGAUGAUACAGGGUACUGAAAACUGGCCUUUUGGGCAAGGACGAAAAAAAAAAAAAAAAAAAAAAGGAGGGGGUGGCAAGAGGACCGCAGAAGGGCACUCUGGGAUAGAGCCAGAGCCACACGUGAACACCCCGAGUACCUGAGUACCGUCCAGAGUUGUGGAUGCAAAAGACCCUGAAAAUCAGAUUUGUCCCUCAUGGUUACAAAGAGGCUGCGAGAGCUCCAGGCAUUCUAGGAGAUGGGGAUUAAGAUGAUGGAAUAGAAGGACUGGAGCUCAACUUCUCUCCUAAAAACAACAAAAUUUACAACCAAAUACUGAGCAAUCUUCAACCAAAUGGACUGGAAACUUUCAAAAAGGCAUCCUGCUCCAGAAGACAAAAAGGAGGCCACAUCAAGAGGUAGGAGGGGCGAUUACAUGAUAUAAUCAACCCCAUACCUCCCAGGUGGGAAGCCCCACAGACUGGAAAGUAACUGUUUCACAGAGACUCACCUACAGCAGUGAGAGUUCUGAGCUCUACAUCAAACUCCCAUGCAUGGGGAUCUGGCACUGGGAGAAAGAGCCCCUGGAGCAUCUGGCAUUGAAGGCCAGUGGGGCUUGUGUGCAGGAGCACCACAGGACUGGGGGAAACAGAGACGCAUUCUUAAAAGGUGCACACAGACUUUCACGUGCACUGGGUCCCAGGGCAAAGCAAAGUCUCCAUAGAAAUCUGGGUAAAACCUGACUGAAGUUCUUGGAGGACCACCUGGGAAAACAGAGAUGAAUGUGGUUUGUUAUGGGGAAAGGGCAUUGGAAGCAAAGCUCUUGGGAAUAUUCAUCAGUGCGCCUCUCUCUGGAGGUGGCCAUUUUGGGAAAAUCUGGUCCCACCCAUCAGCACUGAGAAGCCCCAGGGCAAACAACAAUCCAGGUGGGAUCACAGCCCCACCCAUCAAUAAACAGGCUACCUAAAGACCCCUCAGGCACACAGCCACCUCUAAUCUCACCCAGAGACAAAGCCCCACUCAAGAGAGGGAUAGGAAUCGGCUCCAUCUACCAGUGGGCAGGCAUAAGUUUCUCCUAUCAGGAAGCCUACAGCAAGCCCCCGUACAAACUUCAGCCACAAGGGGGGCAGAUACCAGAAGUAAGAAAGGCUACAACUCUAUUACCUGUAAAAAGGUCACCACCCCAACCUAUAAAAAUGUAAAGACAGAGAACUAUAACUCAGAUGAAGGAGAAAGAAAAAAAAAAAAA